CGGGGAUCGGAGGUGUUCAUAAACAUUCCUGCUGCUCUUUUGUGUUACUUCCUGCGGUAAAACAGCAAAUUUCGAGCCAACACAGACUGUAGCGAGUGCGCUGCUUCGCCCCUGGGUACACAGCAUCUCUAUGUGAAGAGAGUCUGAUGGAGUCUGAUGCCCUGCAGUAAUGGCUAGCCAUACCUGGUCAUAGCAGCCUUCUCAUUGCCUCAGGCAACUGCUAAGCAAUUCCACUCUGAAUACAAUGGGCUGCAGGCACAGUGAGACGUGUUCAAAGUCACAAGUGUGCCAUAAAACACCCAGUGGACAACAGAAGAAUCACCGUCAAUGUCAUCACUGGUGACCUGUCCAGGGUGUGACCCCGCCUUUUGUCCCAUAUCAGCUGAGACUGGCACCAUUACCCUCAUGUGGAGGAUAAAAUGGUAGAAGAUGGAUGGAUGA